GAUGAACGCUGGCGGCGUGCCUAACACAUGCAAGUCGAACGAACAAGUUUCGAGGAAGUUUUCGGAUGGAAUUGAAAUAAGUUAGUGGCGGACGGGUGAGUAACGCAUGAACAAUCUGCCUUAGAGAGGGGGAUAACAGAUAGAAAUAUUUGCUAAUACCGCAUAAGACCACAACCCGGCAUCGGGAAGGGGUAAAAGGAGAAAUCCACUUUAAGAUGAGUUUAUGUAUCAUUAGUUAGUUGGCGGGGUAACGGCCCACCAAGACGACGAUGGUUAGCCGACCUGAGAGGGUGAUCGGCCACACUGGAACUGAGAGACGGUCCAGACUCCUACGGGAGGCAGCAGUGAGGAAUAUUGGGCAAUGGAGGAAACUCUGACCCAGCAACGCCGCGUGAAGGAAGAAGGUUUUCGGAUUGUAAACUUCUGUUAUAGGGGAAAAAUAAAGUGAUGGUACCCUAUGAGAAAGCUACGGCAAACUAUGUGCCAGCAGCCGCGGUAAUACAUAGGUAGCAAGCGUUAUCCGGAAUAACUGGGCGUAAAGGGAGCGUAGGUGGCGAUGUAAGUCUCAUGUGAAAGCCCGUGGCUUAACCACGGAACUGCAUGAGAUACUGUGUUGCUAGAGUGCGGGAAAGGCAAAUGGAAUUCCUAGUGUAGCGGUAGAAUGCGUAGAGAUUAGGAGGAACACCGGAGGCGAAGGCGAUUUGCUGGAACGCAACUGACACUGAGGCUCGAAAGCGUGGGGAGCAAACAGGAUUAGAUACCCUGGUAGUCCACGCCCUAAACGAUGGAUACUAGAUGUGGGAAGAAUCGACUCUUUCCGUAUUGAAGCAAACGCGAUAAGUAUCCCGCCUGAGUAGUACGGCCGCAAGGUUGAAACUUAAAGGAAUUGACGGGGACCCGCACAAGCAGCGGAGCAUGUCGUUUAAUUCGACGCAACACGAAGAACCUUACCAAGGCUUGACAUUUUGAGCAUAUCAUGGAAACAUGAGAAAUCGUAUGUAGCAAUACAUAUGACUCAUAAACAGAUGGUGCAUGGUUGUCGUCAGCUCGUGUCGUGAGAUGUUGGGUUAAGUCCCGCAACGAGCGCAACCCUUGUCAUUAGUUACUAAUAUUAAGUUAAGGACUCUAAUGAGACUGCCGUAGAUAAUACGGAGGAAGGUGGGGAUGACGUCAAAUCAUCAUGCCUCUUACGCCUUGGGCAACAAACGUGCUACAAUGGUAACUACAAAGAGAAGCGAAAUAGUAAUAUCAAGCAAACCUCAAAAAAGUUAUCUCAGUUCAGAUUGUGGGCUGCAACCCGCCCACAUGAAGAUGGAGUUGCUAGUAAUCCCGAAUCAGCAUGUCGGGGUGAAUGCGUUCCCGGGUCU
rnacentral:rRNA from 1 species